rnacentral:rRNA from 1 species
ACGAACGCUGGCGGCGUGCUUAACCCAUGCACGUCGGACGGAAAGGCCCUGCUUUUGUGGGGUGCUCGAGUGGCGAACGGGGGAGUAACACGGGAGUAACCUGCCCUUGACUUUGGGAUAAAUUCAGGAAACUGGGGCUAAUACCGGAUAGGAGCUCCUGCUGCAUGGGGGGGGGUGGAAAGUUUCGGCGGUUGGGGAUGGACUCGCGGCUUAUCAGCUUGUUGGUGGGGUAGUGGCUUACCAAGGCUUUGACGGGUAGCCGGCCUGAGAGGGUGACCGGCCACAUUGGGACUGAGAUACGGCCCAGACUCCUACGGGAGGCAGCAGUGGGGAAUAUUGCACAAUGGGCGGAAGCCUGAUGCAGCAACGCCGCGUGCGGGAUGACGGCCUUCGGGUUGUAAACCGCUUUCGCCUGUGACGAAGCGUGAGUGACGGUAAUGGGUGAAGAAGCACCGGCUAACUACGUG